AUUGAACGCUGGCGGAAUGCUUUACACAUGCAAGUCGAGCGGCAGCACGGGGGCAACCCUGGUGGCGAGCGGCGAACGGGUGAGUAAUACAUCGGAACAUGCCCAGUCGUGGGGGAUAACACUUCGAAAGAAGUGCUAAUACCGCAUACGUCCUGAGGGAGAAAGCGGGGGACCUUCGGACCUCGCGCGAUCGGAGUGGCCGAUGUCAGAUUAGCUAGUUGGUGGGGUAAAGGCCUACCAAGGCAACGAUCUGUAGCUGGUCUGAGAGGAUGAUCAGCCACACUGGGACUGGGACACGGCCCAGACUCCUACGGGAGGCAGCAGUGGGGAAUUUUGGACAAUGGGGGCAACCCUGAUCCAGCCAUUCCGCGUGGGUGAAGAAGGCCUUCGGGUUGUAAAGCUCUUUCGGCAGGAACGAAACGGCGAGCUCUAACAUAGCUUGCUAAUGACGGUACCUGAAGAAGAAGCACCGGCUAACUACGUGCCAGCCGCCGCCGUAAGAC
rnacentral:rRNA from 1 species